rnacentral:rRNA from 1 species
UACGUAGGACCCAAGCGUUAUCCGGAGUGACUGGGCGUAAAGAGUUGCGUAGGCGGUUUAUUAAGCAGAUAGUGAAAUCAGGUGGCUCAACCAUUCUGACUAUUACCUGAACUGAUAAACUCGAGAAUGGUAGAGGUAGCUGGAAUUUCUAGUGUAGGGGUAAUAUCCGUAGAUAUUAGAAGGAACACCAAUGGCGUAGGCAGGCUACUGGACCAUUUCUGACGCUGAGGCACGAAAGCGUGGGGAGCGAACCGG